UACGUAGGUGGCAAGCGUUGUCCGGAAUUAUUGGGCGUAAAGGGCGCGUAGGCGGCAUGGCAAGUGGAAGGUGAAAUCCCUCGGCUUAACCGAGGAACUGCCCUCCAAACUGCUUUGCUUGAGUCCGGAAGGGGCGAGUGGAAUUCCUGGUGUAGCGGUGAAAUGCGCAGAUAUCAGGAGGAACACCAAUGGCGAAGGCAGCUCGCUGGAACGGUACUGACGCUGAGGCGCGAAAGCGUGGGGAGCGAACAGG
rnacentral:rRNA from 1 species